rnacentral:rRNA from 1 species
GUCUUUUUGAUCAUAAUUUAAAGUCUGACCUGCCCAAUGAGUAGUUAAAUGGCCGCGGUAAUUUGACCGUGCAAAGGUAGCAUAAUCAUUAGUUUUUUAAUUGAAAGCUGGAAUGAACGGUUGGACGAGAAAAUAACUGUCUCAAUUUAAUUGAAUGUAGAACUUUAUUUAUAAGUAAAAAAGCUUAUAUGAUUUUAAAAGACGAGAAGACCCUAUAGAGUUUUAUAAUUUAUUACAUUAAUUAAGGUUAGUAUGUUUGUAUUUUUGAUGUAAUAAUUUAUUUUGCUGGGGCAGCAGAAAAAUUGGUUAAACUUUUUUUUAUUUUUAACAUUGAUUUAUGAUUUAAUGAUCCAUUUUUUAUGAUUACAAGAUUCAAUUACCUUAGGGAUAACAGCGUAAUUUUUUUCUAGAGUUCUUAUCGAAAAAAGAGUUUGCGACCUCGAUGUUGGAUUAAAAUUAACUUUUGGUGUAGGGGCUAAAAGGUUAGGUCUGUUCGACCUUUAAAAUUUUACA